UACGUAGGGUGCAAGCGUUAAUCGGAAUUACUGGGCGUAAAGCGUGCGCAGGCGGUGAUGUAAGACCGAUGUGAAAUCCCCGGGCUUAACCUGGGAACUGCAUUGGUGACUGCAUUGCUAGAGUAUGGCAGAGGGGGGUAGAAUUCCACGUGUAGCAGUGAAAUGCGUAGAGAUGUGGAGGAAUACCGAUGGCGAAGGCAGCCCCCCUGGGAUAACACUGACGCUCAUGCACGAAAGCGUGGGGAGCAAACAGG
rnacentral:rRNA from 1 species